rnacentral:rRNA from 1 species
GACGAACGCUAGCGGCGGGCUUAACACAUGCAAGCCGAACGGAAAGUCCCUUCGUUUUUUUGGUGCUCGAGUGGCGAACGGGUGAGUAACACGUGUGUAACCUGCCCGUGACUUUGGGAUAACUUCACGAAACUGGGGUUAAUACCGCAUAGCACCUCCUGCUGCAUGGUGGUGGUGGUUAAGCUUCGGCGGUUGGGGAUGGAGUCUCCGCUUAUUUGAUUGGUUGUGGGGUAGUGGCUUACCAAGGCUUUGACGGGUUGCCGGCCUGAGCGGGUGAACGGACACAUUGGGAAGGAGACACGGCCAAGAAUCAUAAGGGAGGAAGCAGUGGGGAAUACUGCACAGUGGGCGGAAGCCUGCUGCAGGAAAGAAGCGUGCGGGAUGACGGCCUUGGGGUUGUAAGCGGAUUUAGCAUGUGACGAAGCGUGAGUGAAGGUAAUGGGUAAAGAAGCAACGGCUAACUACGUG